rnacentral:rRNA from 1 species
CCUACGGGAGGCAGCAGUAGGGAAUAUUCCUCAAUGGACGAAACCCUGACGCAGCAACGCCGCGUGAAGGAUGAAGGUUUUCGGAUCGUAAACUCCUGUUGUUAGAGAAGAUCAUGACCGUAUCUAACUAAUAAUCCCCGGCUAACGCCUUACCAGCAACCGCGGUCAUACGGCGGGUGCGAGCGUUCGUCGGAAUGACUGGGCGUAAGGAGCGCGUAGGCGGGAUAGCAAGUCAGAUGUGAAAGCCCAUGGCUUAACCGUAGAAGUGCAUUGGAAACUGUUAUUCUAGAGUAUGGGAGAGGUAGGUGGAAUUCUAGGUGUAGGGGUAAAAUGCGUAGAGAUCAAGAGGAAUACUCAUUGCGAAGGCGACCUGCUAGUACAUAACUGACGCUGAUGCGCGAAAGCGUGGGGAGCAAACAGGAUUAGAUACCCUUGUAGUC